GAGGGUACAGCUCAGUGGCAGAGCAUGUGCUUAGCAUGCUCGAGGUCCUGGGUUCAGGACCCAGUAUCUGCA
rnacentral:tRNA from 1 species